AGCGAACGCUGGCGGCGUGCUUAACACAUGCAAGUCGAGGGAGAACGGAAGGCUUCGGCCUUCUUAGUAAACCGGCGCACGGGUGAGUAACACGUAGGUAACCUACCUCCGAGAUCGGGAUAACCUGUCGAAAGAUAGGCUAAUACCGGAUAAGACCACGAUGGCUUCGGCCAGUGCGGUCAAAGAUGGCCUCUAUUUUAUAUGCUAUCGCUUGGGGAUGGGCCUGCGCACCAUAGCUAGUUGGUGAGGUAACGGCUCACCAAGGCUACGAUGGUUAGUUGGUCUGAGAGGAUGACAGCCACACUGGGACUGAGACACGGCCCAGACUCCUACGGGAGGCAGCAGUGGGGAAUAUUGCGCAAUGGGGAAACCCUGACGCAGCGACGCCGCGUGGGUGAUGAAGGCC
rnacentral:rRNA from 1 species